GUGAACGCUGGCGGUAGGCCUAACACAUGCCAGUCGGACGGCAGCACAGUAAGAGCUUGCUCUUACGGGUGGCGAGUGGCGGACGGGUGAGGAAUACAUCGGAAUCUACUUUUUCGUGGGGGAUAACGUAGGGAAACUUACGCUAAUACCGCAUACGACCUACGGGUGAAAGCAGGGGAUCUUCGGACCUUGCGCGAUUGAAUGAGCCGAUGUCGGAUUAGCUAGUUGGCGGGGUAAAGGCCCACCAAGGCGACGAUCCGUAGCUGGUCUGAGAGGAUGAUCAGCCACACUGGAACUGAGACACGGUCCAGACUCCUACGGGAGGCAGCAGUGGGGAAUAUUGGACAAUGGGCGCAAGCCUGAUCCAGCCAUACCGCGUGGGUGAAGAAGGCCUUCGGGUUGUAAAGCCCUUUUGUUGGGAAAGAAAAGCAGCAGGUUAAUACCCCGCUGUUCUGACGGUACCCAAAGAAUAAGCACCGGCUAACUUCGUG
rnacentral:rRNA from 1 species